rnacentral:rRNA from 1 species
UACGAAGGGGGCUAGCGUUGCUCGGAAUCACUGGGCGUAAAGCGCACGUAGGCGGACUCUUAAGUCGGUGGUGAAAUCCUGGAGCUCAACUCCAGAACUGCCUUCGAUACUGAGAGUCUCGAGUCCGGGAGAGGUGAGUGGAACUGCGAGUGUAGAGGUGAAAUUCGUAGAUAUUCGCAAGAACACCAGUGGCGAAGGCGGCUCACUGGCCCGGUACUGACGCUGAGGUGCGAAAGCGUGGGGAGCAUACAGG